GUCUGUUUUUGAUCCAUGUGCGCAAUGGCAAAUUUCAGGUUAUUCGUCAAAUAACCAAGGUUUCUAUUUCUCUGAUUAAUGCAGUUUAUUUGACAGAUGUGUAAUGCUGUUUGUUGAAAAAUGCAUUAGAACCAAUGAUGGUAAGAUCUUGGCCUAGCAAAUUGGUAAAAUAUUACCUGCUCUUAAUUACUGAAUCAUAUUGUAGGAUAAAAUCUGCUGUUUAUGUAUGAAAAUUUGUACUUUAUCUCUGAUUAUGUGGUAUAUGCCCAGAAUUUCAUUAUUAAUGAUCGAUUCAUUAAAAUUACUAUUUUUAAUUGUCUACUUUGUUUUGUGUUGCUGCUGCUCAUUCUGCAUUUUUUUUUUUUUUUUUUUUGAGUAGAUAUAAAAAUUA
rnacentral:lncRNA from 1 species